GUGGCCAAGGGGGCGCUGCGGCACCAAACAGGAGCGCUAGGGAAGGGGCAGGCGAACCUCCCCAAAAGGACUGGCGGAGCCCCUUAUCUUCAUGUGUGCAGGAUCCCACCGUGCCCGGGGUCAGCCCGUCGCCCCCAAACGCAAGCAAGGGUGCAUGCACUCUUCAGAGGGAACAACUUUGGCUCUAGGACCAAAGGGGUGCAGGACACUAGAGACUCAGUCGGGAUGCGGGCACUCUGUGACACCACCCCCACACACAGGAGUCAGAUGACCUGGAAGGGCAAAUGCUAGAAGGAAUGCAUCUAUGCAUCUUUCCAUCCACCCUCCACCGAGCGCGGUGGGACGAUCACCGCCCCGGCAAGUCAGCCACAGAAUUCACAGUUGUCACAACAGAAGAAGAGCCAGGUGGCAUCUGGCUGCCGUUUACCUGUCCCGGAAGUGCCUGGUGGCGAUCAAGUUCCAGACAGGUCGUUUCCUCUGUAUACACAGCCAGGACCCUGAGUGGCCUCCAAGCAUAGGACAGAUGACCUUCAAGGACCAGCCAUGAUUUUGCCACAGGCAGGAGGGUUCUGUGUUUUAAUUGCCUGGAGGUUCCAUCUGUGGCUCUUGGAGCGGCGCCUGGCCCUGCACCCAGCCGACUGACCUACUGGUUCUGCACGGUUGGAAACGAAGCGGCUUCGGUAACAAAGUAACAAAGAAGCCCAGGGCGGCGCGGCAUGGAAAAGCAGACUGGCUUGAAAUUUCCUACGGCUGGAGCCUCUCAACAGACCGAAGCAUCAGCUGAGGCACCUAGAAACUCAAAAGUGUGUUUACCUCUGGGCAGGGAAGCAUUCUGUACUCAAACACGCACGAAGCGGGGCGCCUUUGCUUCUGAGAGCUGGCGCCGACCACCGUGCUUCCGCAAGAACGUCUGAACGCCGUCUGGGCCGAGCUGGGAGCUUCUCACCUCGCAGUCAUGAGUUAAGUUCUCCAAAGCAAUGCUAACAUUACUGGUGUAAGGGUGGAUCCCAAGUCAUUGCCGUAUCUAGGGAGCUACCACUUCUACAAGGAUGUGACUUGCUUGGAAGCCCGCGGUGCCCAAGGAAGGAGAAAGUGCAGACCGAUGCAGAGAAAGAAAUGCCAGCGAGGGACCCCACGUUGGAGAGACAGACACUGUGAGAGAGCCACUCUCAAGAGGCUGGCGAGGCGUGUGCGUGUGCGCGGGUCUCCGCGUUGGCACCAUCUGCCGAUUCCUCAGGAGGACGGAACGAGCCAGCGAGCCAUGAAGAUGCGAUUAUGUAACGCUGGAGGAUUGCUUGUUUUCAAGAGACGGAGGCAAAUGGAACGGAUUGAUUUGUUUGUCAGAGUCGUGUCACUAAAGGAGACCGGUCCCCUCCUCUUCCUAGAGGACCUCAGCAAAGAGGGGAGUGAUUCCAGACACACAAGACGCCUGAUGACCCACCUGGGUUGGACCCCUGGGACCCACAGGCUGGAAGGAAAAAAAAAAAACCAAAACCUGACUUCAGCAAAUUGUCCCUUGACCUCCACAUGUGCAUACAGAGGCAAAGGCACACAGCUUCCCCCUGCGGAAUAAAUAAAUGUAUAAGAAGAAAAAAAAAAUGCAAGACCACAAUUCAUUCCAUUCAUGAAAGCAAGGCCGUUUCCAGAGCGGUGCUGGCAAAUCCUUUUCUGGUUUCUCUGCUUGAAAAAUUGACUGUUCCCCUGCUACCUAAAAGGGCACAGCCAUAGGAAGGGACGUAAUUGCCACUGGCCCUCGCGAGCUUCCCAUCCUGCCUGCUUUGCCUGGCCUCCCUUGCUUUCCGGGGAUGUAACAUCUAAUCCUGAGACCCAUGCAGUCCUAUUACUAUGCAGAACUCUAAACAUGUGCUUUGAGAGAGGAGGCAAGCCUUCCCUUGUUAAAGAUUUAUUUUUAAUUCUGUGUGUGUGUGUGUGUAGGACAAAGGACAAUGUAUUAAAGCCGGUCCUCUCCUUCCGCCGUGAUGUGUCCCGGGCACCCGCCAUCAAACUCUGGUCUUCAGGCUUGGCGGCAACUGCUCUAUCCAUGGAUCCAUCGUAGUGCCCCGCCCCCCCCAUCACCUUUAUUCAACAUGGAGAUUAAACCUAUAGUAUCGGAUCCACCUGCUCGCUCUUCUCCAUGCUGCUUUCUACCCUGGGGCUCUGCUCCCUCACCCUCCAGCUCUUGGGAGCAGCAGGCAGAAAGGGUAUAAAACGAGGAGAUGAAUUCCCCCAGCUCCUGCCCUCCCACAGUGCCUCAGGUUGGCGGUGUCUUCCUAUAGCAGGUCACCCCCCGACACACACACACAUACACAAAGGAGCCUGGUCCCCAGAACCCUCUCUUUCUGGACUCUGUAACCUCUUCCGAGACUUCACAUCUAAGACUGGGGAAGGCUAUUUCUAGCUCCUUGGGCACUGUACCGAUCCUAGAGUUCCCUUAUACCCUACCCAAACUUCGUCAAUCGUCCCUUGAUUAAACCCUCCUCUAAUCAUCCAAUUUGAGCACGCCAUCUGUUUCUCAUGUAGACCCUGUCUACACCGACCACACCGCGUCAGCCUGUCGUAGGCCCUACACUAUGUUAAACUUAAAAAAAAAAAAA